AACGAACGCUGGCGGCAUGCCUAACACAUGCAAGUCGAACGAGUUCUUCGGGUCUAGUGGCGCACGGGUGCGUAACGCGUGGGAAUCUGCCCUUUGGUUCGGAAUAACAGUUGGAGACGACUGCUAAUACCGGAUGAUGACGAAAGUCCAAAGACUUAUCGCCAGAGGAUGAGCCCGCGUAGGAUUAGCUAGUUGGUGUGGUAAAGGCGCACCAAGGCGACGAUCCUUAGCUGGUCUGAGAGGAUGAUCAGCCACACUGGGACUGAGACAGGGCCCAGACUCCUACGGGAGGCAGCAGUGGGGAAUACUGGACAAUGGGCGAAAGCCUGAUCCAGCAAUGCCGCGUGAGUGAUGAAGGCCUUAGGGUUGUAAAGCUCUUUUACCCGGGAUGAUAAUGACAGUACCGGGAGAAUAAGCUCCGGCUAACUCCGUGCCAGCCGCCGCCGUAA
rnacentral:rRNA from 1 species